rnacentral:tRNA from 1 species
UUAAAGAGAUAGGAGUUGAACCUAUACCUGAGAGAUCAAAACCCUCUGCACUUCCAUUAUACUACUCCUUA